UUGGUUCGCAAGAGGUAGAAUGAUAGCAGUUUGAACAUUAUUGUAUUUAACAUUUGCAAUGUGAAUUAAGUUGAAGUAAAGUAUAUUAAGAUCAAGAAGAGGAAGAGAGGAAAUGUUCCUAUCUAUUGAGUGCGUGAUUUACAUUCUCCAAAAUACUCUGUCGGACCGCGGGCCAGGCUUAAGAAUUUCAACAUUUAGGGAGAAGGAUCCAUACUUUUCCGGGCAGGGGUUGGAGAUUUCAACCUUUUGGGGGAAGGAUUCAUACUUUUUUUUUCAGUGGAAGAGUCAAAACACAUCUAUAACAGCAUACCUUGACUUGCAUUGAAGGUCAGCCCUUUGCCAUUCCCCAGCAAGAAAAAUCUGAUAAAUAUACUCUAUUCUUCUUCCCCCAAAUAAAUAUAUUUUUCUGCAUAGAUGCAACCUUGAACCAGUCAUCUUUAAUACAUCUGGAAUACAAAAACAGUAAAAGUGAGGUAGAUUUCAUGUUUCCAGGGAUAAAAAUUAAUAGUUACUCUUACAGGUUUAACAAACACUGGCAAUGCCUGAUUAUAAAAUCACUUCACUGCAACAAACCAUUUGCCAUUAAAAUACUUCUAAUAAAACCUUCACUGAUCCACGAGUGAU